AGAGUUAAAUAGUACGUGAAAUUGUUAAAAGGGAAACGCUUGAAAUCAGUGUUGCCGCGGGAUAUCAGCCGGCUGGCUACAGCCGGUGCACUAUCUCGUGGCAGGUCAACAUCAAUUCUGCUCGCUGGACAAAGGGGAAGGGAAGGUGACCAUCUUCGGGUGGUGUUAUAGCCCUCUCUUAUACAGUGGGUGGGAUUGAGGACCGCAGCCUCUAUUGGGUUGCCGGUGGCUAUCGGAUGCCUGCCUGAGGACAGUUUACUGACCUCGGGUAGCCGUACCUGGUACUCUGCCGGUUCACCACACUUGUGGCUAAGGAUGUUGACGAAAUGGUUUUAAACGACC
rnacentral:rRNA from 1 species